rnacentral:misc_RNA from 1 species
CACGUCAUCACAGGAACACCUUCCUUACGCACUGUCCAUCAUCGCCAUGUCCGCUGAGACCCUCGCGUGCACGUACGCCGCGCUCAUGCUGAGUGACGCCGGCCUGCCCACCUCGGCCGAGAACAUCGCCGCGGCGGUGAAGGCGGCCGGCGUCGAGAUGCGCCCCACCCUGCCCAUCAUCUUUGCCCGCUUCCUGGAGAAGAAGUCCGUGGAGACGCUGAUGGCGGCCGCCGCCGCGCAGGCCCCGACGGCCGCGUCCGCCCCGUCUCCGGCGGCGGGCGCCGCCUCCGCUGCAGCGGCCGGCGGCAAGGUGGAGGACAAGAAGAAGGACGAGCCUGAGGAAGAGGGCGACGACGACAUGGGUUUUGGUCUGUUCGACUGAGCGCCCCGCAUGAUGACCGGCAUAUGCGAGCACAUGGUUGUUUGCCUCAUGUUCUGCAACACCCGAGCAUGCGUGAGCGCUGCCUCUGUGCGUGCACAUAUAUAUAUAUGUGUGUGUGUGUGUGUGUGCGUGUGUUUCGCUGCUCUCUUUUUCUUUUCGAUUUUAUUUACGUGUGCGUUACUCCUUCCUCUGCGAGCCCU